rnacentral:rRNA from 1 species
AAAUGAAUUGACGGGGACUCGCACAAGCGGUGGAGCAUGCGGUUUAAUUCGAUGCAACGCGAAGAACCUUACCUGGUCUUGACAUCCUAGUGCUAGGUCUAGAGAUAGACCCUUCCUUCGGGACGCUAGAGACAGGUGGUGCAUGGUUGUCGUCAGCUCGUGUCGUGAGAUGUUGGGUUAAGUCCCAAAACGAGCGCAACCCCUAUCAUUAGUUGCUAACAUUAAGUUGAGGACUUUAAUGAGACCGCCGGUGAUAAACCGGAUGAAGGUGGGGACGACGUCAAAUCAUCAUGCCCCUUAUGACCAGGGCUACACGCGUGCUACAAUGGCUAGAACAAAGAGUCGCGAAACCGUGAGGUCAAGCUAAUCUCAUAAAACUAGUCUCAGUUCGGAUUGUAGUCUGCAACUCGACUACAUGAAGUUGGAAUCGCUAGUAAUCGCAAAUCAGAAUGUUGCGGUGAAUACGUUCUCGAGUCUUGUACACACCGCCCGU